UCGGUCAUUUCAAUAUUCUGAUUGCAUAGUUACCUUCAUUGGGAAUUCUGAUCACAACAAAUCCACAUCAUCUGCUGAUGUUUCCUAACCCUGCAGAGGAUGCUGAGAUGAGGGGCAGUGAGGCAUUGAAAUACAGAAGUACAGCAGGAGCAGGAGAAGAGGGCUCCAAAGGUUCUUCAGACACACAGCUUCUUGCUACUGCUAUGAAGAAACACUCAAGCUUGCACAUGACAGCAGAUUGGGAGCAGGACAGCCAGGAGGGAACUCAGUGCAGGAGGAAGGAAGGGGAAGAUCUCACAACAACCAUCAGCAGCACAGAACCAAAACCCUUGCCAAAACCCAGCAGCUGACCAAAGGUCUCAGUGAUAGAAAUAUGCUAUUGUCACAGAAUAUAUAACUAGCAAACCAA